rnacentral:rRNA from 1 species
CUUAAAUGAAUUGACGGGGAGCACCACAACGGGUGGAGCUUGCGGUUUAAUUGGAUUCAACGCCGGAAAUCUUACCGGGACCGACAGCAAUAUGAAGGCCAGGCUGAAGACUUUGCCGGAUUAGCUGAGAGGUGGUGCAUGGCCGUCGUCAGUUCGUACUGUGAAGCAUCCUGUUAAGUCAGGCAACGAGCGAGACCCACGCCCACAGUUGCCAGCGUACUCUCUGGAGUGACGGGUACACUGUGGGGACCGCCGCUGCUAAAGCGGAGGAAGGAAUGGGCAACGGUAGGUCAGUAUGCCCCGAAUAUCCCGGGCUACACGCGAGCUACAAUGGUUGGUACAAUGGGUAUCUACCCCGAAAGGGGACGGGAAUCUCCUAAAACCAAUCUUAGUUCGGAUUGAGGGCUGCAACUCGCCCUCAUGAGGCUGGAAUCCGUAGUAAUCGCGUUUCAACAGAACGCGGUGAAUACGUCCCUGCUCCUU